rnacentral:lncRNA from 10 species
UGUGGGCACCAAAGCCCUUCUCCCUUUGCUUCACAUAUGCCACCUUUUCCCUCUAUCACCCAUUCCUUUCCUUUGCUUCAUGAAUGUAAAGGCAACUCUAAUUGGUCCUUCUCUCUGCCUUCCCAGCUUGUUGUCUCAGCUGGUGCCUGCUCUGAACCUUCCAUUGAAAGAAGCCUAAAAUGAAAAGUGGGACCCCAGGCCCCAUCCCCCAAAGCAACCACUGUUACCCAUUUCCUGUGCCUUUUCAGAAAUAGACUACGACCAUGGACACAUAUGUGUAGAUUGUAGCCUACAUUUUCCUACAAAUUGGGGCUUUUGGAUGAGUAAUAGGAUGUGAUGUGGGACUUUUCCACUUGUUCUGGAAUUACAGCCAAGGGUCGAUGAUGUAAACAAAAGAUGCUAGGUGUUCCUGCAUUCUACAGAGAGCCCUGACCAGAGGCCGCCGUCGCCUCUGCAAAUAACUUAAGAGGACUUGGAAACCUUCCUUAUGCAUCAACCACCCAGGCAGGUUUCUGUGGGGAGCACACUAGGCCUGGGAGGAGGUGGAAAAUCAGCCUUGGGGACUUCUGUCUGCCUGGGGAGACGUGACUUCCUUUCCUCCCAAAAAGCUUCCUGUCAUGUAGGUGGAUGGGAAAGGGAUCCUGGAGAGUCACUUGUGGAGCUUGCUAGAAGGGGAGACAACGGGCCUUCAGCCUGAUGCUCGCUGAGCCGCGGAAUCGAGGGUCCAUAUGAGGGCACGCCAUGGAAGAAGGGCAUUGAGACAGCCAAGAGGAAGCUUGUGUGACCAUAGAGGCUGGGUACCCGCUGGCUGCCUGUGCUAGAGGGCAGAAGGGAUCUGUGGGGUGUAGGACGCUAUGGCUGGGAAGCCAGAGACAGCCCUGCCAUCCCAGUUCUGGGGCCUCAGCACUACCAAGAGGACCUACUGGAGCUUUUCCAGAGUGCUCCAGGAGUGCCAAAAGUGGGCCUUGGGAGCUGGCAUUCCCCAGGCUGGACCAAAAGGGGACAAAGCCCCUUCCUGUGGCAGGUCCCCAGUGACAGAGGGCCUGGGGUGGAGCUGAACACUGCUCCCAUGAAAGCCACACCCACCACCUCAGAGACCACCAGGAUCCAAGUUGCAGGAUCUGCCCAAGUUGUCAUUAAAGGACAGUCAGGAGAGAUUAGACACAAGGCAGUCGCUUGUAUUACAGAGUGGGAGGAUCAGCCCUUACCUGUGAAAUGGACCUGGGUUGGAAACACUGUGGGUUUGACUCACAGAAUGAGGGUCUCUAAAUUCACAGAUGGGUCCUGGGUGAUACCAUCUGUGAAACCUGAUGCACCUGAAUCACCUAGAGACAAACUCAAUGACUCAGUUACUUUCCAGAGCUUGGAAUAGAGCAGCUUCACUCAUGGAGGGACAGGAGGGUGCCCUCCCUGGAGCAGGCUGAGGGCAGGCACAGCCACCAGGCCCUUUGCAUUUUUGUCAAAGUAGUUGAAUCCAAUUGCUGCUGCUAAUAUGCAUGAAUUGAUAGCUUGGACUUAGUUCUGAGAUCCUUUCUGCACAUGUGGGCAUCCCCCAUGCUCGAGUUCAUUUUGAAGCCACAAACACCCAGCAGCAGAGGCAGACAAUUCCUAGUAAUCUUUCAGAAAACUCAAUUUCCAGCCAUGUAUGACAAAAUGACUAUUUAAUGAAGGCAAAUGUCAUGCUUAAAUAUUUUUAGUUUUUCUUGUCGGUGAGUGAAUCGUUUUGAAUGACAGAUUAAAUUUCAAGGGGUGCAAGAAUCUCAACAGAACACCAUUCCUUUUCUAAUUUUUUGUUCCAUUGACUCUCGGAAACCCUCUCAGUGAUUCAGGAAGCUGUCUAGGGCUUUCUGACAGCACAUCAUACGCUCAGCAGAUCAGUGAAACCCCUAUCAGUAGAGCUGCGACUGAACCCAUUGUGAGUUCCGGUCCUCUUAAAGGAAAAGCUCUUCCCACUGAACGGGCUCCCAUCUGCACCUGCUUUAGAUUCUGUAACUUCCUCAACCCAUUUGCUUCUUCUCCUUUAGAGGUGCUCAUGGCAGAGGUCAUUCUUUUUACUUCAGUGGCUUCAGUCGGCAAAGGCUUUUGCUAGGAGCUGCCUUCGUGGGUGACAGAUGAGGGGACAUGAGGAUUGUGACAGGGCUCAGACACCUCUGCUCCCUUCCCUCCAAAGCCAGGAGAGAGCUCUGAAGGGAGGGGGGAAGGAGGGGUGAGGCACCCCCUCCGGGGCCUCUCCAAGGAAGGAAUGGAUCCUGCUGUCAGUUCCUCCCAGGUUCCAGCCUAUCGCUUGGCUCUAGAGGAAACUCCAGAAUGAAUGAAGAAGAGGUUCAAUGGAUGACUAAGAAUAUGAACUGCGAAGUUCUGGAGACAAAUGAUAAGAGGUCAAAUAGUGUGAUGGGAAAAACUCAACCCAUCAGAGUAGAUGGUUGCUAUGCCCACCCCUCACCCUGGGCCCAAUUCCAGUCCUUUCAGAAUUGGCUUAUGCUAGAAAGCAGUUGUCGUUGAGCAAGAAAGAACUCUGGGGCCAUCAAAAAGAGGUUGCUUGGUGAGAGGAGUUUGCGCACACCAAUGGUAGGCACCCAGGGUGAGUCGAGAAGACAGGAUGUUCCAGAACAUUCUCCCUUGCCUGUACUAAUUCCAUGGUAGGUGGGUGGGGCUGCACAAAAGCCUGGAACAUUUUCCUUUUGAUGUGAGCUGGAGGCAAGCUGAUAGAAACACGGAAACCCAGGCCAGCCUAGAGACCUAUAAGUCAAAGUUGACUUCUCCCCUGACCCAACCCCAUCUAGCAUUGCCCAACUCCCCAAACACUGCUGAAUGGCUGUUUAUGUGGAGAUGAAGAAAAGCUCUCUGUUGACUUUGUUUCCAAACCCUGCCUUUUGGAAUUGACACAAGAAGAGAGCACACUGCUCUCCAGGCCUGACCAUCCGGUCAGCAGACUCCAAUCCCCUGCCCCUGCGUUCUGGCUUUUCCUCCUCAAACAGAAGCUAUUGAAUCAGAUAUCAACAACAUAGAUAAAAAGGAGAGCAACAUGGGCUUUGAACCCAAGGCUAACAGGCUUAUCACAAACUCUUGUCAACCUCUCUCUGUCGCUUCCAACCCCAGGGGUGAAAGAUCAAACUUUCACUCCUUCUCCUGAGGACUGCUCUGUACAGGGGUCCUGGUCCCUGUGGGUCGGGGCACAUGGGGCUGGAUCUGCACCUUCAGAGAACACAGCCGGGACCGCAGAGGAAGCAAGGCCCCAGGUUCACUGUGGCUGCAGGUGGAGGGAGGCUGUCACUUGGGAUGGGUGCCCGAAGCAGUACAAAGG